GACUGGGAUCUUACAGGCAAACAGCUUUCCAUGCAGAGUUGAAGCUAUGGUGCUGAUCAGAGUGCUAGCAAACCUUCUGAUACUACAGCUUUCUUACGCACAAAAGUCUUCUGAACUGGUCAUUGGAGGU